GCACAUACAAAACCCUCUCUAUGAAGGGUUGUAUUCUUGGAAAGGCUGAGGUGAUGGAAGGCUCCCCCUCCUCCCACACUCACAACAACUCCAGAGUGGGGAGAAGAGAACUGAAGAGGAAGGGAGGUUCUCGGUAAGCCAGGUAGCUUCCAGAGAAGAAGGUCCUACAAGGAUGAAGUCAACUCCAAUGCUUGGAUUUCUCCACAACCUGGCCCCACCUUACCUCUCCAGCCUCAGGACCAUAGCACGCACGGUGGAAAGGGCUCAGGAUUAGGAGUAAGACUUGAGAACUUGGAUGAAUGCAAUAUCACAGAUCCAGAAAGUGAAGAUGAAACUCACUGCUCGUCUCCUGAUAGAGAGGCGACGGACUUGAGAUGCACAGAGACAAAUAUAUUUUUGGCCAAGGCUAA